rnacentral:rRNA from 1 species
GCAUGGCCGUUCUUAGUUAGUGGGGCGAUUUAUUCCGAUAACGAACGAGACUCUAGCAUAUUAAAUAGGGGCGUGGUUCUCCGCACCUUGCACCCUUUUUAAAAUGAACAAGCGGCUCUUAGCCGCACGAAACAGAGCAAUAACAGGUCUGUGAU